rnacentral:rRNA from 1 species
GAUGAACGCUAGCGGCAGGCUUAACACAUGCAAGUCGAGGGGCAGCGAGUAGAUUGCUUGCAAUCUAUGUCGGCGACCGGCGCACGGGUGCGUAACGCGUAUGCAACCUACCCAUUACAGGGGGAUAACACUGAGAAAUCGGUACUAAUACCCCAUAACAUCCAGGGAGGCAUCUUCUUGGGUUGAAAACUCCGGUGGUAAUGGAUGGGCAUGCGUUGUAUUAGUUAGUUGGUGGGGUAACGGCUCACCAAGACAACGAUACAUAGGGGGACUGAGAGGUUAACCCCCCACAUUGGUACUGAGACACGGACCAAACUCCUACGGGAGGCAGCAGUGAGGAAUAUUGGUCAAUGGACGCAAGUCUAAACCAGCCAUGCCGCGUGCAGGAAGACGGCUCUAUGAGUUGUAAACUGCUUUUGUACGAGGGUAAACGCAGAUACGUGUAUCUGUCUGAAAGUAUCGUACGAAUAAGGAUCGGCUAACUCCGUGCCAGCAGCCGCGGUAAUACGGAGGAUUCAAGCGUUAUCCGGAUUUAUUGGGUUUAAAGGGUGCGUAGGCGGUCGGAUAAGUUAGAGGUGAAAUCCCGAGGCUCAACUUCGGAAUUGCCUCUGAUACUGUUCGGCUAGAGAGUAGUUGCGGUAGGCGGAAUGUAUGGUGUAGCGGUGAAAUGCUUAGAGAUCAUACAGAACACCGAUUGCGAAGGCAGCUUACCAAGCUACUUCUGACGUUGAGGCACGAAAGCGUGGGGAGCAAACAGGAUUAGAUACCCUGGUAGUCCACGCAGUAAACGAUGAUAACUCGUUGUCGGCGAUACAAUGUCGGUGACUAAGCGAAAGCGAUAAGUUAUCCACCUGGGGAGUACGUUCGCAAGAAUGAAACUCAAAGGAAUUGACGGGGGCCCGCACAAGCGGAGGAACAUGUGGUUUAAUUCGAUGAUACGCGAGGAACCUUACCCGGGCUUGAAAGUUAGUGACAGAUCUGGAAACAGGUCUUCCCUUCGGGGCACGAAACUAGGUGCUGCAUGGUUGUCGUCAGCUCGUGCCGUGAGGUGUCGGGUUAAGUCCCAUAACGAGCGCAACCCCUACCGUCAGUUGCCAGCAGGUCAAGCUGGGCACUCUGGCGGGACUGCCGGUGUAAGCCGAGAGGAAGGUGGGGAUGACGUCAAAUCAGCACGGCCCUUACGUCCGGGGCUACACACGUGUUACAAUGGCAGGUACAGAGGGCAGCUACCCAGCGAUGGGAUGCGAAUCUCGAAAGCCUGUCUCAGUUCGGAUUGGAGGCUGAAACCCGCCUCCAUGAAGUUGGAUUCGCUAGUAAUCGCGCAUCAGCCAUGGCGCGGUGAAUAC